CGAAGGGUGCAAGCGUUACUCGGAAUUACUGGGCGUAAAGCGUGCGUAGGUGGUGAGUUAAGUCUGUCGUGAAAGCCCCGGGCUCAACCUGGGAAUGGCGAUGGAUACUGGCUCGCUAGAGUGCGGUAGAGGAGAGUGGAAUUCCCGGUGUAGCAGUGAAAUGCGUAGAGAUCGGGAGGAACAUCAGUUGCGAAGGCGGCUCUCUGGACCAGCACUGACACUGAGGCACGAAAGCGUGGGGAGCAAACAGGAUUAGAUACCCUGGUAGUCCACGCCCUAAACGAUGCGAACUGGACGUUGGGAGCAAUCAGGCUCUCAGUGUCGAAGCUAACGCGUUAAGUUCGCCGCCUGGGGAUACGGUCGCAAGACUG
rnacentral:rRNA from 1 species